rnacentral:rRNA from 1 species
GGGUUGUGAGGUUAAGCGACUAAGCGUACACGGUGGAUGCCCUGGCAGUCAGAGGCGAUGAAGGACGUGCUAAUCUGCGAUAAGCGUCGGUAAGGUGAUAUGAACCGUUAUAACCGGCGAUUUCCGAAUGGGGAAACCCAGUGUGAUUCGUCACACUAUCAUUAACUGAAUCCAUAGGUUAAUGAGGCGAACCGGGGGAACUGAAACAUCUAAGUACCCCGAGGAAAAGAAAUCAACCGAGAUUCCCCCCAGUAGCGGCGAGCGAACGGGGAGCAGCCCAGAGCCUGAAUCAGUGUGUGUGUUAGUGGAAGCGUCUGGAAAGGCGCGCGAUACAGGGUGACAGCCCCGUACACAAAAAUGCACAUACUGUGAGCUCGAUGAGUAGGGCGGGACACGUGGUAUCCUGUCUGAAUAUGGGGGGACCAUCCUCCAAGGCUAAAUACUCCUGACUGACCGAUAGUGAACCAGUACCGUGAGGGAAAGGCGAAAAGAACCCCGGCGAGGGGAGUGAAAAAGAACCUGAAACCGUGUACGUACAAGCAGUGGGAGCACGCUUAGGCGUGUGACUGCGUACCUUUUGUAUAAUGGGUCAGCGACUUAUAUUCUGUAGCAAGGUUAACCGAAUAGGGGAGCCGAAGGGAAACCGAGUCUUAACUGGGCGUUAAGUUGCAGGGUAUAGACCCGAAACCCGGUGAUCUAGCCAUGGGCAGGUUGAAGGUUGGGUAACACUAACUGGAGGACCGAACCGACUAAUGUUGAAAAAUUAGCGGAUGACUUGUGGCUGGGGGUGAAAGGCCAAUCAAACCGGGAGAUAGCUGGUUCUCCCCGAAAGCUAUUUAGGUAGCGCCUCGUGAAUUCAUCUCCGGGGGUAGAGCACUGUUUCGGCAAGGGGGUCAUCCCGACUUACCAACCCGAUGCAAACUGCGAAUACCGGAGAAUGUUAUCACGGGAGACACACGGCGGGUGCUAACGUCCGUCGUGAAGAGGGAAACAACCCAGACCGCCAGCUAAGGUCCCAAAGUCAUGGUUAAGUGGGAAACGAUGUGGGAAGGCCCAGACAGCCAGGAUGUUGGCUUAGAAGCAGCCAUCAUUUAAAGAAAGCGUAAUAGCUCACUGGUCGAGUCGGCCUGCGCGGAAGAUGUAACGGGGCUAAACCAUGCACCGAAGCUGCGGCAGCGACGCUUAUGCGUUGUUGGGUAGGGGAGCGUUCUGUAAGCCUGUGAAGGUGUACUGUGAGGUAUGCUGGAGGUAUCAGAAGUGCGAAUGCUGACAUAAGUAACGAUAAAGCGGGUGAAAAGCCCGCUCGCCGGAAGACCAAGGGUUCCUGUCCAACGUUAAUCGGGGCAGGGUGAGUCGACCCCUAAGGCGAGGCCGAAAGGCGUAGUCGAUGGGAAACAGGUUAAUAUUCCUGUACUUGGUGUUACUGCGAAGGGGGGACGGAGAAGGCUAUGUUGGCCGGGCGACGGUUGUCCCGGUUUAAGCGUGUAGGCUGGUUUUCCAGGCAAAUCCGGAAAAUCAAGGCUGAGGCGUGAUGACGAGGCACUACGGUGCUGAAGCAACAAAUGCCCUGCUUCCAGGAAAAGCCUCUAAGCAUCAGGUAACAUCAAAUCGUACCCCAAACCGACACAGGUGGUCAGGUAGAGAAUACCAAGGCGCUUGAGAGAACUCGGGUGAAGGAACUAGGCAAAAUGGUGCCGUAACUUCGGGAGAAGGCACGCUGAUAUGUAGGUGAAGUCCCUCGCGGAUGGAGCUGAAAUCAGUCGAAGAUACCAGCUGGCUGCAACUGUUUAUUAAAAACACAGCACUGUGCAAACACGAAAGUGGACGUAUACGGUGUGACGCCUGCCCGGUGCCGGAAGGUUAAUUGAUGGGGUCAGCGCAAGCGAAGCUCUUGAUCGAAGCCCCGGUAAACGGCGGCCGUAACUAUAACGGUCCUAAGGUAGCGAAAUUCCUUGUCGGGUAAGUUCCGACCUGCACGAAUGGCGUAAUGAUGGCCAGGCUGUCUCCACCCGAGACUCAGUGAAAUUGAACUCGCUGUGAAGAUGCAGUGUACCCGCGGCAAGACGGAAAGACCCCGUGAACCUUUACUAUAGCUUGACACUGAACAUUGAGCCUUGAUGUGUAGGAUAGGUGGGAGGCUUUGAAGUGUGGACGCCAGUCUGCAUGGAGCCGACCUUGAAAUACCACCCUUUAAUGUUUGAUGUUCUAACGUUGACCCGUGAAUCCGGGUUGCGGACAGUGGUCUGGUGGGUAGUUUGACUGGGGCGGUCUCCUCCUAAAGAGUAACGGAGGAGCACGAAGGUUGGCUAAUCCUGGUCGGACAUCAGGAGGUUAGUGCAAUGGCAUAAGCCAGCUUGACUGCGAGCGUGACGGCGCGAGCAGGUGCGAAAGCAGGUCAUAGUGAUCCGGUGGUUCUGAAUGGAAGGGCCAUCGCUCAACGGAUAAAAGGUACUCCGGGGAUAACAGGCUGAUACCGCCCAAGAGUUCAUAUCGACGGCGGUGUUUGGCACCUCGAUGUCGGCUCAUCACAUCCUGGGGCUGAAGUAGGUCCCAAGGGUAUGGCUGUUCGCCAUUUAAAGUGGGUACGCGAGCUGGGUUUAGAACGUCGUGAGACAGUUCGGUCCCUAUCUGCCGUGGGCGCUGGAGAACUGAGGGGGGCUGCUCCUAGUACGAGAGGACCGGAGUGGACGCAUCACUGGUGUUCGGGUUGUCAUGCCAAUGGCACUGCCCGGUAGCUAAAUGCGGAAGAGAUAAGUGCUGAAAGCAUCUAAGCACGAAACUUGCCCCGAGAUGAGUUCUCCCUGACCCUUUAAGGGUCCUGAAGGAACGUUGAAGACGACGACGUUGAUAGGCCGGGUGUGUAAGCGCAGCGAUGCGUUGAGCUAACCGGUACUAAUGAACCGUGAGGCUUAACCUUACAACGCCGAAGGUGUUU